rnacentral:rRNA from 1 species
UACGUAGGGGGCAAGCGUUGUCCGGAUUUAUUGGGCGUAAAGAGCUCGUAGGUGGUUUGGUAAGUCGGAUGUGAAAUCUCCAGGCUCAACCUGGAGGGGUCAUUCGAUACUGCCAUACUAGAGGUCGGUAGGGGAGUGGUGGAAUUCCUGGUGGAGCGGUGAAAUGCGCAGAUAUCAGGAGGAACACCCGUAGCGAAGGCGGC